rnacentral:rRNA from 1 species
GUUAGCAGCCUAAAUACAUUAAAGACACCAAAUCCCAUUUGACCUUGGAAGCUAAGCAGUGACAGUCAGCCCUGGUUAGCACUUGGAUGGAAGACUUCCAAUGAACACCAGAUGCUGUGAGUU